CUCGUCGUGGACACCUUCAGCGCUAGGGAAUAGCGUGGGCUCCCGGUUUCGGGUCCGGGUUCAUGUCGGCCAAGUCUCCUGUCGGCUUGGUGCUCAUUUUCGCCGCUGCCACGAUCUAUCUGUACGUGCUGUCCAGCAACUUGCCCCAUGUAGUGCAUAGCCGGGAGCCGCUGAACGGCCAGGAGGAGGAAGAGGAGAGACAGGAAUCCAGGUUACUAACAUUUCCAUCUGACCUGGAAGAACUGCGAGCGAUUGCUGGCUUGCUGCAAUCCUACAGAGCUCAGCAUGCUGGUUAUGUGCUCCUACUGUUCUGUAGUGCAUACCUCUACAAACAGACGUUUGCAAUCCCUGGCUCCUCCUUCCUGAAUAUAUUAGCAGGUGCAUUAUUUGGACCAUGGCUGGGCCUUGCCUUGUGCUGUGUUUUAACAGCAAUUGGAGCAACCUUCUGCUUCCUGCUCUCCAAGACAUACGGUAAACAGUUUGUCGUGCAACGGUUUCCUGAGAGACUCUCAAUGCUACAACAAAAGGUGCAGGAAAACAGGAACAGCCUCUUUUUCUUCCUUUUGUUCCUCAGGUUUUUCCCAAUGACUCCAAACUGGUUCCUAAACAUCACAUCUCCCAUUCUUAAUGUUCCUCUCAUGCAGUUCUUCUUCUCCAUCGUAAUUGGUCUCCUUCCCUAUAACUUCAUUUGCGUGCAGACUGGCUGCAUCUUGUCUGAGAUCUCGACACUGGAUAACCUAUUUUCUUGGUCCAUCCUGAUGAAACUGUUGGUCAUAGCCAUAGUGGCACUUGUCCCUGGAGCUCUCAUCAAACAUUACAGUCACCGGCAUCUGCAGUUGGGUGGAAAGGUCAAAAACAGGCACUUGGAUAAUGACCGGAAAAUUAGAUGACCGAUGCUAACCCCUCUGUUAUUUAUGGUUUUAUUAUUGUAUGAAACAGUCUUAAUAUGAAGUUUUGUUUAUAUCAUAGAAGCCUGUCCAGUAAAAUUUGAACAAUGCCACAGUCUUCAAAGCAAUGCCUGCAAGCUACCCUGCAGUAGGUGCCCACUUAUUACUUCUCCACUUGUAAAAGGUGUCCAACACCUGAUAAUUAAGUGGACAAUCACAUUUGAGUCAGUUGUUGUCUUACGGGUAAUUAAAAGAAGUUCAGAUGUGGCUGUAAGUGUUGUACCAAGCUCAAGUAUUUUGCUUCAAAUCUAGUAAGGCCUCAGCUGGUCAGAACUGUGGGUGUUAUUUGUCAAAGACCUAAAUUAUGCAGAUCAUCUAGAUGUGAGUUGCAAAAAAUGUCACCUGUCCUUCCAGGGCAGGGAACAGGACAUUUUGGUUUCAGAAGCUAAAGGAUUUCCAAUCGAACAGUCCAGUCUAUAGUUGGUCCCUAUACUCUCCUUGUUUCAAACAUUACAGCAGGCAUUACAUAUCAGGUGUAUUUCAUUGGUUGUGAAAUACUUUCGAAAGCUCUAAGGUCAUGAAAGACACUCAUGAUUUCUCCUGUCCAACCUUAACUGGUGAUGGGAAAUUGCAGUGGUGGCCAAAUACCCUCGAAAUCUGAGGUAACUAACUGCUGCUGGUGGCAAACUGCCUUCUGACUGGGCUAUCGUAUCUCCUGCUGUGGAAAAAUCGAGCUGCCUGUGAUGCCUGUUUUAUUUUUAAACUCUCCCUUUGAGUUCAAUCUACCAUUGCUGGUGCUUUUUAGUUCUGCCACACACUUCUUGGUUUUGUUUGUGUAGACAGUUCAGCAAUUUAGUGAUCAGACACAAUUGGCAGAUCGCUGUCACUGGACAGGAAGCGGACAGGUGUUGGUGAGUAUGUAUGGGAUUCCUAGCUAUGCAUCUAGCUUGCUCACCUCUGCAGUGACCUGGCAACGGUGUUGCUAUCUGCGGCCAGAUUAGUGACAUGCUCUGAGUGUCUCUAAAUGGCAUCAAUUCUUUAAUAUUGCAUUCAAGUCAGGUGGGAUGAUUGAGACUAAAUGGAGCAGCUGAAGCCUGCAAAUCAAAAGGUAAUUAUUUUUGUUUUCAUCAUUCAACAAGAUUUUUAAUAGUAAAUAUCCAAAUUAUGAUGCCACAGUGCAGGCUGUGGGGGACAGAAUUCCACAUUAAAUGCAUGUGCAAAUGGUAGAUAUCUACAUGAGUAGUAAUUGGCUCUGAGGCAUUGUCCUCAACACUGGUGGCUGUGCUACCCAAGACUGCACAGCCCAGGAUAAUUAAUGAUCUUGUAUGUCAUUUUUAACAGCCAGAAGAUUGAAGUGUAUUUUUAAAAAUUAAUGUUUUAAAAAUAAGCCAGCGGAUCCUGGGACGGGACUGAUGAAAAGCCAAUACAGUGAUGAUCAGAACUGGAUGUAAAACGUCGUAUUAUUAAUGCCGUGAUCAGAUGGGGGCAAGAGUGAGAGUGCAAAGAUAGUGGUGGACAUAGCUGAGGAAAAUGUGCCAGGAAUUCACCGGCCCUCAAAAUAAAGAAAAGCAAAGACAAACUUGUUGUCCCUGACUGCUGGCAUGCUGCAGUGAGGAAGUCUGGAAUGGUUCGGUGACGUUCAGACGGUUCUGUGUGGAAGUACAACUGCACAAUUUUCCUCUGACAUCGCGAGACAAGGCUUUUCACAUUGCUGGGAGAAGAAAAGGAUCCAGUACCAGGUUUGGGGACAGGAAAGAGAAGCAGCAACUAUUGAUGGCAAAUGAAUGCCUUGAUUUGGAAGGCUCUUCGUCACAGAGUAACCUCAUCUCACUUAGCAUAGCAGAGCCUGGCUGCAUAGCAAAAACAUCACCAGAAUGAUGGGGUGAACUUGAAGCAUGGAGCAAAUUUGGGGUCAACCAAGGUGAAGGCUCAGACACAUUGUAUCAGAACAGGCUUGAGGGGCAGAACUGCCUCAUCCUGUUUCUGUCUGCCCAUCUUGCCAAGCAGCCGGAAGGUACUGUGCUAGAUGCUGGGAAGCAUCACUUAGAUCACUAGGCUAACAAACACCGCUCUUUCAAAGACCCCAACCCCUACUGACCUUGGCCUCAGCAAUUCCAAAUGCUGCCAAUGAAUUGUCUUCCCCAGAGGUGGCAGUACAUUUUGACAUUAAGUGCCUUCCAGUCCCAUGAUCCAUUUGCCAUCAGGUUGAGCUGAUCUUCCUGGCUGGUUCAAUGUAUGCAUAUCUGAAGUAUUCAGGUACACUCCAGAAUCUUUCCUGUUUCCUCUUCAUCGAAGAGGAUCAGGAGGGGCAUCCUCCCAUCAACCGUGGCCCACUUUGGUGUCUCCUGACCCAGUCAGUCUCAGGUCAGAACAGCAGUGCAGCCUCGUGUUAGUCCCUGAGCCUUACACUCCAUGCAAAAACAAAAAAAAAUUAAGACUUGCGACAUCUUGUCCAUCUUCUUUGCAAAUCCGUCUCUUGUAGAAUACUCGACGUUUACGCAGUGUGAAGUGUCAAACAAAAAUAGAACGUUAAUGUUUACACUAGCGACAUUAGUCAAAGUGGAUCCCUGCCAUACUUGAUUGAAAUGAUAGUGAACUCUACAAUUACUUCAUCACAGAAUGUUGCAGAAUAUCGAAGAGUAUCUGAGUCUGUGUUAUUGCAGUAUGUUCCCUCAGGAAGUCUAGAUAGUCUUCAUGUAUGUCUUUGUCCGUAAUUUCUAUGUUCUUUUCCUAUGGGUGAUCUUGCUGCCUACCUCCCUCACCAGGUGGAUAAGCUGCAGUCCUUCCCUCUCCGGACUGUGGCGUCGGAGCAUUCUGCUUCGGAGGAAUCACAUUCCGACUCCCCAAAGUGCAUGGAGUUCUAGAGGGUGAGGACAAACAUUAAAAAGGUCAGUGUCCAUGAUCUCCAAGUUUCCUUCUUGCCACUCUUCCACACCAUUCCCUCCACCACACUCAAGUCUUUGGGAUAUGGCUCAGCAGCAGACAGCGGCAGGUCUCCAAUCCCAACCCAUCUUCCUCGCACCAGCCCAAUUUCAAAGGAACUUGGAGUGUGGGUCAGGAGGACUGACACCAAACAUGGUUCACAUCAGCACUGAUGUGAUGCCUGGUUCCAACCAGUAUUUCUCCCUUACUUGAGAAAAUGAGGCAGAUAAUCUGGUCAUUCAGCACAUUGCUUACACAAUGCUCAUUAUUCCUUUUUCAUCUUAGGAGCACAAACUAUAACAGAAUUAUCUGACACAGGCAGGCUGUGUUUGUUCCACAGUAGCAGCUACACUUCAAACAAAAAAGUAUUUAAUUGGAUAUACAGCAUUUUGAGGUGUCUCAAUGUCCCAAAAGAUGCUAUAUAAAUUCAAGUCUUCGCCUAUUCUUCCAUUCUGAUCUGUACUUAAGUUCCAUCUACAUAGCUUAGUGAAAUUUUCAAAAUGACUGAAGACUACACCGACAGCUGUUUCACCUGGUCAUCUAAGUUCUCAAUGCACUAGUGGUUGAUGCCCAGGAAGACCCUUGGCAAUGCAGCCCAUGCCCACAUUCACAGUGUCUGUUUGUGCCACCUCCCAGUCACCCAUGCCAAACACGAUGAUGGGCUUUUUUUGGUCUGGUGGUAGAUGUCAGUGCAGGAAGAAAAAUCCAUUGCAGAGUUUGGAACAUUCCUUACAGAAACACACCCAGAUUUCUUCCUUUAUUUUAACUGUAGCAUUUGUUAGCGGCAGGCAAUUCUCCCCAUUGAACGUUCCCCUAUGCAAUGCCAAAGUGCAUAAACACAGGGCCGUUGCAGUAUGAAGCCUGUUUUGUGCCUGUUAGAUUCAGCACAGCUGGGAGAACAGUGGGUCAUGUUUGUGCUGGCGCUUUAAAAGGAGCUACCAAUUAGUCCCAUUUUAUUGGAUAUUUGUACACAUCAACUAUUUAUCCAAUUCCUUUCCCAAAGUUACUUGGGAUCAUACAGAAUAUUCCAAAUUGUAACGACUUAAUGCAUAGUGUUUUCAUGUCUUGUUCUUUAACCAAUUGCCUGUUUUCUCUGGUUACUGGGUCUCCUGUCGCUGGAAACAGAUUCCCUUUAUUUACUCUAUCAAACUCUUCAUCACUUUGAACAUUACUAAAUCUUGCUUUAACCUUCCUGAUUUGAAGGAAACACCACCAGAUUCUUUAAUAAAGGUAGAUGCUGGAAAUCUGAAACAGCCACCAGGAAUACUAGGUUCAGAGUUCUGAAGAGAAGAGAGGCCAUUUGGCCUACUGAACCUGCAAUGACCCUCCAAAGACCUCCCCAAUCUCCACCCUAUCCCUAUAGCCCUCACAUUUACCGUAGCUAACCCACUUAAGUCUGCACAAUCCUGAGCACCAUGGGGUAAUUUUGCAUGGCCAACCCACGGAGGGGUUGUGGGAGGAAACUGGAGUAGCUAAUGGAAAUCCACACAGACACGGGGGGAAUUCAUGCAUCUAGAACAUUUGUGGCUGGCAUUCUGGAUUACUAGUUCAGUGACAUUACCAUUACACCACCAACUCCUGAAAUAUGAUAUCCAGACUUGAAUGCAUUACUCCAGCUAGGGUGUAAGCAAUAAAGAUUUAGUAUAACUUGCUGUAUGCGUUACCAAAUGCCUCUAUUUAUAAAGCCAGGAGUCUGUGUAUACUUUUCUUUAAACAACAUGAAAGGCAAAAGUAGAGUUGAAGAUUAUCAGAUCAGACAUGAUCUGAUUGAACAGCAGAUCGAACUCAAUGGGUUGAAUAAGCCUACUUUGCUCCUACAUCUUAUGAUGUUUCCUGCCACCUUUGAGUUGUGCUUCUACAGACCCAGAUCUUGCUCAUAUCAGUGUCUGGAUUGAACUCAACAGCGAGCCAUGCAACUAGCUAAGAGAAUCUUACCUCAUAGCAAUGCUCCUCUGCACAGAGUUUCCCCAAUGAUAUCUGAGUUUUCACCCUGCGCACAGCAGACUCUUUGUCGGACAGCCCGUCCGACUGCAUGGAUAUCUCGAUGGGAAUUUCCGGGGUUUGCGACAGCAUAUCAUCCAGUUUGUCCUCCACACGGUCCUCAUUGUUGUUGCUGAGUCCAUCUGGAGUACCGCUGUGAGAGUGGUCACUGGUAUUUCCUUCCUCCCCAUCUGAUACAGAGAAGUUCUCUGAGCUGAAGGUGGAAUAGGACUGGCAGCUGCUCAUACAACGGUGAGGCCUGCAGAGUAAAGAAGGCAACACAGCCUCAGGAACCCAACAAUACAAAUCCACACGACCUUACAAAGGAACAAGUAGAAAGAUUGCAGUAACCUCUAAGCUCUCCAACAGACGAGGCAAAGUCUCCUGUGUCUGUAGCUAUGUGAGGCCAAAAUAAAAAUGAGUUCCAAUAAUUUCAGAAUUCCAGAUUAUCAAUACCCUUCGAUCAAGUAUCUUCUGGUUUCACUCGAACUGCUGGUCUAAUUUAUCAACAUUCCCAACUAGAAGAAGUGGUUUCUCUGUAUUUGACAUGCUGAAUGUAU